GGGAACAAAGACUCAGCUUUGUUCGUGAUACAGAAGGAAAGGGAAGUGACUGUGUACGCCCUUUUCUGUACUAGACACUUCGCAUGGCUUUAAUCCUCAGAGUAAACCCGUGAGGUUGUAACAUCCAGUUUACAGAACCUCAACGAAAUUCAGUAGUUAAUCCCAGAUCACACAGGCCUGAUCCCAGGACUGCAGAGCCCUGGCCCGUGCUCCUUCUUCUGCAGCUGACUGACUGGCUAGACCCAUCCUCCUCUCCAAAGCUAACUGCUGUCUCAUUUCCACGAUUACGCAGUCUUACGAGUGCCUCUGGAGGCCAUCCAGCCCCGCACGCCUCACUCUCCAAACAGAAACUAGCUUUCAGGAGCUCAGUGACGCAGGUCAGCUUUUAAACAGCCAUUAAUUAUGGAAAUUAAUUUUGGUAGCAUGAGCUCUAGAAGCCAGGGACAUGAUAUUCAGGCAUCAUUAGAUUGAGACCU
rnacentral:lncRNA from 1 species